UACGUAGGGUGCGAGCGUUAAUCGGAAUUACUGGGCGUAAAGCGUGCGCAGGCGGUUUUGUAAGUCAGAUGUGAAUCCCCGAGCUCAACUUGGGAACUGCAUUUGAAACUACAAGACUAGAAUAUGUCAGAGGGGGGUAGAAUUCCACGUGUAGCAGUGAAAUGCGUAGAGAUGUGGAGGAAUACCAAUGGCGAAGGCAGCCCCCUGGGCUAACACUGACGCUCAUGCACGAAAGCGUGGGGAGCAAACAGG
rnacentral:rRNA from 1 species